CUAUUUGCUUCACGUGAACUGGAACACUUGUUUCAUCUGGAUGCUUCCCUUUUAAAAAAAUCCCCUGUGGCUUCUUUUUAGAUAUAAAUAAAACUGAGAAAAAUAUGUGGAGUGUGGAUGAAGGAGGAAAAACAACAGAUCCAGACUUCCUGGUACCAUUCAGUGGCAGCAGAUGCCAAACAUAACAACUUUCAAGGCACCUCCUGAAUGCUCCAGCUGUAUCCUCAGUAUGCCAUAAAUACACGCUCAAAAAUUCGCAGCACCUCAAGAUACACCAUUCCUCCUCAAUCCCCAUCCACUCAUCUGUGCCUGGUGAGAGGAUGGAAGUGACCCUGCUACAACAUUUCCUGGAGCCUGGACAGGAGCAGAGUGCCAAGCAGGGAUAGAAUCCAGUUCUUUGUGAGAUGCUCAGCCUUCCUCAUCUUUUCUCCACGAACAGUCAGUGCCUGGACCUGACAACCUGUAUCAGGUUGCAGAGCACAGCAAACAUCUGCCUUCACAGGUCCUGCUGCCUGAACACCCAUGCAAAAGCACUGGUACCAGAAGUGCACUUGCAUUUCUUCCAGACCCCCUAGUCAACACCAUUUCUACAGACAGUGUUGCCUCUGGACAAGCCCUGAUACAGCAGCAGCCUGCUGGAAGAGAAGUUUGUGCCAGCAUUGCUUUUUCAGCCCUUACUUGGUGAAUAGACCCGUAGAA